rnacentral:rRNA from 1 species
UACGGAGGGAGCUAGCGUUGUUCGGAAUUACUGGGCGUAAAGCGCACGUAGGCGGCUUUGUAAGUUAGAGGUGAAAGCCCGGGGCUCAACCCCGGAAUUGCCUUUAAGACUGCAUCGCUUGAAUCCGGGAGAGGUGAGUGGAAUUCUGAGUGUAGAGGUGAAAUUCGUAGAUAUUCGGAAGAACACCAGUGGCGAAGGCGACUUACUGGACACAUAUUGACGCUGAGGUGCGAAAGCGUGGGGAGCAAACAGG